rnacentral:rRNA from 4 species
AGACCCGAAACCCGGUGAUCUAGCCAUGGGCAGGUUGAAGGUUGGGUAACACUAACUGGAGGACCGAACCGACUAAUGUUGAAAAAUUAGCGGAUGACCUGUGGCUGGGGGUGAAAGGCCAAUCAAACCGGGAGAUAGCUGGUUCUCCCCGAAAGCUAUUUAGGUAGCGCCUCGUGAAUUCAUCUCCGGGGGUAGAGCACUGUUUCGGCUAGGGGGCCAUCCCGGCUUACCAACCCGAUGCAAACUGCGAAUACCGGAGAAUGUUAUCACGGGAGACACACGGCGGGUGCUAACGUCCGUCGUGAAGAGGGAAACAACCCAGACCGCCAGCUAAGGUCCCAAAGUCAUGGUUAAGUGGGAAACGAUGUGGGAAGGCCCAGACAGCCAGGAUGUUGGCUUAGAAGCAGCCAUCAUUUAAAGAAAGCGUAAUAGCUCACUGGUCGAGUCGGCCUGCGCGGAAGAUGUAACGGGGCUAAACCAUGCACCGAAGCUGCGGCAGCGAACGUAUCACCCAAGACAACUUUACGGAGUUGACGAUUGACGGAGCGAAGCGACGUCAAAGCGUUCAUUAAAGUCGAGUUGGCUUAGGGAUACGUUCGUUGGGUAGGGGAGC